rnacentral:rRNA from 1 species
UACGGAGGGUGCGAGCGUUGUCCGGAAUCACUGGGCGUAAAGGGCGCGUAGGCGGCGCGACAAGUCAAUGGUGAAAGCCCGAGGCUCAACUUCGGGUCGGCCACUGAUACUGUUGGGCUUGAGCACUGUAGAGGCAGGUGGAAUUCCGGGUGUAGCGGUGGAAUGCGUAGAGAUCCGGAAGAACACCGGUGGCGAAGGCGGCCUGCUGGGCAGUAGCUGACGCUGAGGCGCGACAGCGUGGGGAGCGAACAGG